GAGCAUCGAGUAUUGAGAAACCAAACAAAACUAGAAUGCGGCAGCAAUUUGAGCACAGAAAUGUAUUUUAUCAUCACGGAAAGAAAAGAAGAAAAAUUACCUAUGUUGUUUGCUCUAUGGAAUGAAGAUUUCGCUUUUCGCAAGUCCUUCACUAGAAGCAGGUACGUGUCUGGCUUAUUGCAGCAGAAACCGCACUCUUUCUUCACUGCUAUUUGGGAAUCGAGGGAUUUGGAUUGGGGGUAGUCUUUCUUUAAACACAAACCUGAAUAUGUUUGGGCCUUUCGCUAACAGGGCCUGCAGUCGGUGUAGUCGCCGGCGACGUGCUUGCAGCCUUGCCCAGAAACCUGCAGUUGCAGGUGAGGUCGCUGCCCAGAAACCUGCAACUCCGACCUCCUCCGACCUCGAAUGCUGCCCAGAACCGUCCGCCAAGCCUCCGGCCUCCGUCCGCCAAGCCCCGAGCCGCGGUCGCCGCCUGGAACGCCGCCGCUGCGUCGUCGUCCUCACUUUAGCAAAGUGCGGACGUCCUCUUUGGAACGGGCCUAUAUAUAUAUAUAUAUAUAUAUACAGCAAGGUUGUAAAGAGGACGUCCGUGAUAUACUUGAUCUGCGGAUGUGCCAUUCUGAGCCGUCCAUUGAUUUAAAUGAAAACAAACGGCUCAGAUCGAGAUUUUCCAAAAACAAUCGCGGGUCAAAUAUAUAGCUCUGUGCUUCAACCCUGACUCAGAGGAGUCAAUGACAAAACCAGAGUUCUCGUCUCGACUGCUCCGACCAAAAUCCAGUUCUCCAACCCGACUCCCAGCGAUGCAACCAAAGUCUGGUUCUCCACCCAAAAUCCAGGUCUUCUCGUUAUUGAUACUAGAAACUCGUCUCAGGUUGCACGAUUGUUGCAACCCAAUCUUUCUUUUUUUCUUCCUCUCAUGAAAAUUGUAGUUCUCUUAUGGUCCCAUCCUCCCUUGAGGUUUUCGCGUCAAAAGUUGGAGACUUGGAAGCAAAGAAGCACAUCUAGACAUUGCUGGCAUAUGCCUCAUGUUUACUGGGAACUCGUUUUUUCUGUGGGCUAAAAGGAAAGGAAGGUUCCCUCGACUGUUUAUCAUAGUUAGACGAAUGUCGGAUGAAAUGAAGUAUCGGCACAUGAAUGGAUUCCAUGAUAAAAGGGUUUAGUUAAUGUUAAUUUUGAGUACUGGUCUUGUUCUGGUGGUUUGGUGAAUUGAAACUAUGUUUAUCUUA